UGGGGAAUCUUGCGCAAUGGUCGAGAGACUGACGCAGCGACGCCGCGUGUGGGAUGAAGCAUUUCGGUGUGUAAACCACUGUUGCCCGGGACGAACAGCCUUUUUCGAGAGGCCUGACGGUACCGGGUGAGGAAGCACCGGCUAACUCCGUGCCAGCAGCCGCGGUAAUACGGAGGGUGCGAGCGUUGUCCGGAAUCACUGGGCGUAAAGGGCGCGUAGGUGGCGCGGGGAGUCAACGGUGAAAGUUCGGGGCUCAACCCUGAAUCGGCCGUCGAUACUCCCGUGCUGGAGCACUGUAGAGGCAGAUGGAAUUCCGGGUGUAGCGGUGGAAUGCGUAGAGAUCCGGAAGAACACCGGUGGCGAAGGCGGUCUGCUGGGCAGUUGCUGACACUGAGGCGCGACAGCGUGGGGAGCAAACA
rnacentral:rRNA from 1 species